AAAGAAACCAACAGGGAUUGCCUCAGUAACGGCGAGUGAAGCGGCAAAAGCUCAAAUUUGAAAUCUAGCACUUUCAGUGUUCGAGUUGUAAUUUGAAGAAGGUAACUUUGGUUUUGGCUCUUGUCUAUGUUCCUUGGAACAGGACGUCACAGAGGGUGAGAAUCCCGUGCGAUGAGAUGCCCAAUUCCAUGUAAAGUGCUUUCGAAGAGUCGAGUUGUUUGGGAAUGCAGCUCUAAGUGGGUGGUAAAUUCCAUCUAAAGCUAAAUAUUGGCGAGAGACCGAUAGCGAACAAGUACAGUGAUGGAAAGAUGAAAAGAACUUUGAAAAGAGAGUGAAAAAGUACGUGAAAUUGUUGAAAGGGAAGGGCUUGAGAUCAGACUUGGUAUUUUGCGUUCCCUUCCUUUUUGGUUGGGUUCCUCGCAGUUUACUGGGCCAGCAUCGGUUUGGAUGGUAGGAUAAUGACAUUGGAAUGUAGCUUUACUUCGGUGAAGUGUUAUAGAACUUUGUUGAUACUGCCUAUCUAGACCGAGGACUGCGUCUUUGACUAGGAUGCUGGCGUAAUGAUCUUAAGCCGCCC
rnacentral:rRNA from 1 species